rnacentral:sRNA from 1 species
GAAACGAAAAAACCGCCUGGGGAGGCGGUUUUUUCGAGGGUUCAGUAAGUUGGGGAACUUCUGAACCGUGGUAACAGGGUGUACAAGACCGCUGAAACCAAAUUCUGUCCUUCCAGUUUAGCCGUAGUUGGGCUGAUACUUCAAGAACUCUCAUUCAGUUAAUCUUCUUGUACACCCUUUACCAGUGGCUGCUGCCAAUGGCGAUAAGUCGUGUCUUUCCGGGUUGGACUCAAGACGAUAGUUACCGGAAUAGGCGCAGCAGUCGGACUGAACGGGGGGUUCGUGCAUACAGUCCAGCUUGGAGCGAACUGCCUUCCCGGAACCGAGUGUCAGGCGUGGAAUGAGAAACCGCGGCCAUAACAGCGGAAUGACACCGGUAAACCGAAAGGCAGGAACAGGAGAGCGCGCGAGGGAGCUACCAGGGGGAAACGCCUGGGAUCUUUAUAGUCCUGUCGGGUUUCGCCGCCACUGAUUUGAGCGUCAGAAUUUGUGAUGCUUGUCAGGGGGGCGGAGCCUAUGGAAA